AUGAACGCUGGCGGCGUGCCUAAUACAUGCAAGUCGAACGGGGAGUAGCAAUACUCUUAGUGGCGAACGGGUGAGUAACGCGUUGGUACCUGCCCCGAAGCGGGGGAUAACGGACCGAAAGGUCCGCUAAUACCCCAUGUGCUCGGUAACGAGUAAAGGUGAAAACCACUUUGGGAGGGGCCUGCGUCCCAUCAGCUAGUUGGUAAGGUAACGGCUUACCAAGGCGAUGACGGGUAGGGGACCUGAGAGGGUGGCCCCCCACAAUGGAACUGAAACACGGUCCAUACACCUACGGGUGGCAGCAGUAGGGAAUAUUGGGAAUGGGCGCAAGCCUGAACCAGCAACGCCGCGUGUGCGAUGACGGCCUUCGGGUUGUAAAGCACUUUUGACUGGGACGAGGAAGGACGGUACCGGUCGAAUCAGCCUCGGCUAACUACGUG
rnacentral:rRNA from 1 species